rnacentral:tRNA from 1 species
GGGCCGUUAGCUCAACUGUUAGAGCAACUGACUCUUACAGUAGGUCCACGGUUCGAUCCCGUGACAGCCCACCA